GGCCUUCCACACCCCCUCCGUGGGUGUGUGGUGAGUGUGGGUGUGUGCGCGUCUCCUCGCGUCCCUCGCUGAGGUGCCUACUGUGUCUGCAUGGGUUGGGUCCCGCGCGAUGAGGGGGUGUGGCCGCCAUUGCCUACCCCAGUGGGUUUGCCCCCUUGGUCUGGUGCCCCUUCGCGAGCGAGGCCCUGGGAUGCCGGUGCGAGGGUGUGAGUAGUCCCUUUGUGCGCAACCCCCCGCUGCCCGUGCCUCGGCCGGUGCGUGGCUGACACCUCCGCUGGGUGGAGGCGCUCGCGUGUCGCCUCGUCGCCCCUUUUGUGUCGGUGUCCGCGCUCCCUGGCGGCUGCGUGGGCGCUCUCGGCCUUGCAGGUGGCCCCCCUUUGUGUUACUGCCCCUGUCUGUGGGCUGCGCGUCCCCUAGCGCGCGUGGCCGCGCCUUCUGCAAUUGCGACCCCCGCCUAGAGCCUUGCUCGCGCAAGUGUGCGUCCUUGCGUGUCUCCGAGUGACGCAGAGUGUCUGCGCAUGGGUCCUGUUGAGUGCGUGAUCUCUUGUGUGCGGAUUUAAUUCUGUCGAGUGGGUAUCUCUUGUGUGCAGGUUUCGUUGGUGAGCGUGAACGUUCGUGCACACCCCUUGCUGUGUGUGCGUGUCACGACUCUGUUGCCACCUGUUUUCGUGUGAACUGGCAGUCCAGUCCAGGGCCUGUCCCCACGGAACGGACCCAGGAGGGGGGUAACCUCGCCGCUCCCCUCGCCCCCGCGCCUCUUUCUGAGCAUUCUCUCCCACAGACGCUAAUGGGAAGGGGGGUGGACAGGAUCGAGUCUGGCC
rnacentral:lncRNA from 10 species